CGGUUAUGAGACGCGGCGCGGGCGGGCGGCCGCGGUACGUGUGCGCGGCGCGCAACCAUUUUGUAUGCAAGAUGGCGUCGAGUGCGUGAGAGGGAAAAGAGCAACGUGCCGAUCAGUGAAGAGUCAGAGGAUGUUAUUGUAGCAGCAACACUGAAGAAACAUCAUGAUCAUAUCCAGGAUCAAUCGUAGGCUCAUUGCCAACAGGCUUUUGGAGAUGAGUGGCGUGCGACCCAGUGACACAGCCAUACCAAAGACAGCCCUCUUCCUCUUCUUCAUUGGGAUUGGCCUGUCUGUUUUCAGCUCCCACAGGCUCCUGACAACACAGUCCUGCCGCUCUGUCCUUUCCAAACAGGAAUGAUACUCUCUAAACCCACCUGUUUAAGCCAAGGACACAGACACAUGUAAAGCAUUGGGCUGGAGAAUGUUGGGGGGCAAUAACAACUCCAGGUUGAUGUUUUGCUGGACAUGGAGCAGCCCUCAUCUGUGUAAAUAGCUCGGAUAAAAUGAACUCUGCCCUGUAGCCUCUAGAGGUCACGUGAAAGCCACACUGUACUUAUGCCAAAUGCACGUAUCAUCAUUUGGGGUGUGGCCUAUAAGACAUGUAAGGGCUAAAUGGGGUUGUUGGUGACUACUAUACAAUUGGUUGCAUCUCUGUGGCCUACUGUGGUGUAUGUAUUCUAAGCACUUCGACAUAAUUAGAUGAAUGGCUACACCUGCCGUUGUGCCAAUUCUAGAGGAGUUUUAGUUGAUGUAUUCAGCUGGUUUAAUUUCCUGACACAAGCGUUCAUGCUAUUUACUAAUGUUACUCACAUGGUAAAUAUGCCGGAAUUUAAGGUUGUUCUUAUUUGUACACACGGGAGUUGGUUUGCUUUGUCUGCAUGACUCUGUUAGUGACAGCCCACUCAUGUUGUACAGGUUACAUGCUUCAUCAAGCAGAAGUUGGAGGAAAGGCUCAAGGUAAUGCAGUGUAAUGUGUAAAAUGAUAAAGUCCAGAAAAUUCUCAAUAUUGAUGGAACAACUUUAAUUUGUGAGGUCAAAGUUAUCACAAUGUCGACAGUGAUUCGGCUUGAAUUUCUCUUUAAAAAAGACUUUGCGUGUACUAACUUGGGAAUGUUGACAAACUGUUCUAGGUUGGGACUGGGUGAACACAAUGUUGAAGGCUGUGAUAUGAAACACAGCAGUUUCAAUGCAAUGUUGAUAUGUGUGUAAAAAAAAGCUUUUCGUUUCACGUGAAGUGUUGGAAAGAGCUGUAUUUGGCAUGUGUGCCAUUCAUGAAAGGAAUCUCAAGUGAAGCAAAUCUCUGUUUUAAGGUCUACAGUGCAAACGUGGUUUGGUUUUGCUCCUCAUUAAACCCAGUGGACUCGGAUCAAACAGUGCCUAACACGUUUUGUUGACUCAGAUUGAGGUAAUAAAUAAAUGUUAUGAACAAAU